rnacentral:rRNA from 1 species
UUCCAGACUCCUACGGGAGGCAGCAGUGGGGAAUAUUGCACAAUGGGGGAAACCCUGAUGCAGCGACGCCGCGUGAGUGAAGAAGUAUUUCGGUAUGUAAAGCUCUAUCAGCAGGGAAGAAAAUGACGGUACCUGAUUAAGAAGCCCCGGCUAACUACGUGCCAGCAGCCGCGGUAAUACGUAGGGGGCAAGCGUUAUCCGGAUUUACUGGGUGUAAAGGGAGCGUAGACGGCUGUGCAAGCCAGAUGUGAAAGCCCGGGGCUCAACCCCGGGACUGCAUUUGGAACUGUGUGGCUGGAGUGUCGGAGAGGCAGGCGGAAUUCCUAGUGUAGUGGUGAAAUGCGUAGAUAUUAGGAGGAACACCAGUGGCGAAGGCGGCCUGCUGGACGAUGACUGACGUUGAGGCUCGAAAGCGUGGGGAGCAAACAGGAUUAGAUACCCGAGUAU